rnacentral:rRNA from 1 species
GACGAACGCUGGCGGCGUGCUUAACACAUGCAAGUCGAACGAAGUGGCGAACGGGUGAGUAAAACGAGGGUAACCUGUCCUCGUUCUGGGAUAAGCCUUGGAAACGGGGACUACUACUGAACAACGGGGGAUGGGCUCGCGGCCUAUCAGCUUGUUGGUGGGGUGAUGGGCUACCAAGGCGGUGACGGGAAGCCGGCCUGAGAGGGUGACCGGCCACGUUGGGACUGAUAGACGGCCCAGGCACCUACUGGUGGCGUCAGUGGGGGAUAUUGCGCAAUGGGCGACAGCCUGAUGCAGCGACGCCGCGUGGGGUAUGGAGGCGUUCGGGUUGUAAACCUCUUUCGCUAUCUCAUGGUUAGGUGGAGAGGAAGCGCCGGCUAACUACGUGCCAGCAGCGGCGGUAAUAC